UGGGGAAUAUUGCACAAUGGGCGCAAGCCUGAUGCAGCCAUGCCGCGUGUAUGAAGAAGGCCUUCGGGUUGUAAAGUACUUUCAGCGGGGAGGAAGGGAGUAAAGUUAAUACCUUUGCUCAUUGACGUUACCGACAGAAGAAGCACCGGCUAACUCCGUGCCAGCAGCCGCGGUAAUACGGAGGGUGCAAGCGUUAAUCGGAAUUACUGGGCGUAAAGCGCACGCAGGCGGUCUGUCAAGUCGGAUGUGAAAUCCCCGGGCUCAACCUGGGAACUGCAUUCGAAACUGGCAGGCUAGAGUCUUGUAGAGGGGGGUAGAAUUCCAGGUGUAGCGAUGAAAUGCGUAGAGAUCUGGAGGAAUACCGGUGGCGAAGGCGGCCCCCUGGACAAAGACUGACGCUCAGGUGCGAAAGCGUGGGGAGCAAACAGG
rnacentral:rRNA from 1 species